GUAGGUGAACCUGCGGAAGGAUCAUUAACGAAUCUUCGAGGUUGUGCUGGUUCUCACAAGUGCACGCCUCUUACAUUCCAUUCACACCUUCUGUGCACUCUAAGAGACGUAUUUCCCCCGUUUACGUGCCGUCAAGGCUCGGGACUUCGUCUAUUUACACACCCUUCUGUAUCAGAAUGUCUCUGGCGGAAACGCUAAAAACAAA
rnacentral:misc_RNA from 1 species